UUGGAGGGCAAGUCUGGUGCCAGCAGCCGCGGUAAUUCCAGCUCCAAUAGCGUAUAUUAAAGUUGUUGUGGUUAAAAAGCUCGUAGUUGAACCUUGGGCCUGGCUGGCCGGUCCGCCUCACCGCGUGUACUGGUCCGGCCGGGCCUUUCCCUCUGUGGAACCCCACGCCCUUCACUGGGCGUGGCGGGGAAACAGGACUUUUACUGUGAAAAAAUUAGAGUGCUCCAGGCAGGCCUAUGCUCGAAUACAUUAGCAUGGAAUAAUAGAAUAGGAUGUGUGGUUCUAUUUUGUUGGUUUCUAGGACCGCCGUAAUGAUUAAUAGGGACAGUCGGGGGCAUCAGUAUUCAAUUGUCAGAGGUGAAAUUCUUGGAUUUAUUGAAGACUAACUACUGCGAAAGCAUUUGCCAAGGAUGUUUUCAUUAAUCAGGAACGAAAGUUAGGGGAUCGAAGACGAUCAGAUACCGUCGUAGUCUUAACCAUAAACUAUGCCGACUAGGGAUCGGACGGUGUUAUUUUUUGACCCGUUCGGCGCCUUACGGGAAAC
rnacentral:rRNA from 1 species